rnacentral:tRNA from 1 species
UCCCCGGUCGUCUAAUGGCAGGACAGCAGACUCUGAAUCUGCAUGUGAAGGUUCGAAUCCUUCCCGGGGAUCCA